CCUACGGGUGGCAGCAGUGAGGAAUAUUGGUCAAUGGACGAGAGUCUGAACCAGCCAAGUAGCGUGAAGGAUGACUGCCCUCUGGUUUGUAAACUUCUUUUAUAUGGGAAUAAAAUGUUCAGCGUGUGGGAUUUUGUAUGUACCAUAUGAGUAAGGAUCGGCUAACUCCGUGCCAGCAGCCGCGGUAAUACGGAGGAUCCGAGCGUUAUCCGGAUUUAUUGGGUUUAACGGGAGCGUAGGCGGAUUGUUAAGUCAGUUGUGAAAGUUUGCGGCUCAACCGUAAAAUUGCAGUUGAUACUGGCAGUCUUGAGUAUCGUAGAGGGGGGUAGAAUUCGAGGUGUAGCGGUGAAAUGCUUAGAUAUCACGAAGAACUCCGAUUGCGAAGGCAGUUCACUGGACUGCAACUGACACUGAGGUUCGAAAGUGUGGGUAUCAAACAGGAUUAGAUACCCCUGUAGUC
rnacentral:rRNA from 1 species